UCUUUUUCUUCUUCGUUUUUUUUUUUUUUUUUUUUAAUCACAACCAUGCAUGCCUCUCUCAGCCCCACAUCUGCUUCAGAGAUGUCAAACAUUCCCUCCUCCCUAUCCAUAUGCUGCCUUGGAGACUCAGCCCUACUCCUAACUUAAAACGGAGAGUACUACCUGCCAUAUGACUGUGCCCCACCAGUUUCGGUUACUGACCUAGGAGUAGACAUCUGACUCAAGCGGGGUUGCUUGAAUUUUCUCCCAGGAAUUUGGAAUAGGGACAAAGAGGCUGAGUCAUUUAGCUGUGUGGAGCCAAGCUGCAAGGUCAUGCCCAUUGGCCUGCCACAGCAGGCUGAAACCUCAUGCUAGCCACAGUGAAGGGAAGCUGAGAAACCAUGAGUCAGCAGAAAAAGCCAGUCUACGAGCAAAAGAGCACAAAGAUGGGGCAGAUAGAUGCCCAGAGUCAAGUAGAGAGGCCAUGUACCUUGAAAGGCACAGGAGAGAGAGAGAGAGAAAUAAAAUCUGCAUAAUCCCCUUCUUGGUCCUAUAAUGCCCAGCAGCUGUAUCUCCAGCACUGGCUUAUUGUGACCCCAUAAUAACCUCUGCCUUUCAGUCAACCCUCUUUUUAUUUGAGCUAAGUGGAAUUCUGUUCCUUGCAUGCAAAUUCUUCCUAAGACACUUCACAAUUCAUAUUGAAUAUAUUUUAGGGCGGAAAGACUGUUCUGCUCUUUAUGACGAUUAUGGAAAUUGAGGUUUAUCUCAAGACCCGCAACAGGCUGAGCAGCUUUCUGCAUUCUCGCCACUAAUUAUCCAGACUCCGGAGACUGAGCUUUCAAGGUGAGUGGUUUUCAGAGCUUCAGAUGGGAGCCAGCCCCAUUUGAGGUCUUUCCCCAAGGAUAUCUUAGAGAUAUUCAGUUCAGGAAGAGAGAUCUUAUUGUAGAAUGUAGCUGCCACCUUGGGAACAUAUGUCAGGACUUCCUAAAGUCUUUUUGCUUAAAAUUUCCAAGAAAAUGUGGAGCCUGAUUUCUUAUAAAGCCACUUUUCCUUUAAAAGUACUUGCAGAAUCUCUACAGGCCCAAGGUGUCUGUGAAGAGCUCAGGUACUAUUUCUGUGCUAAUCUCUAUAGAAUAAAAGAAAGAACUCAUUUAAAAAAUUCCACUUGUCUUUCUCAAAUUAUUAGAACUAAUCCUAGAAUGAAAUGAUGGAGAAAUGGUUGAGUAAAUUAGAGUCCAUCAGCUGGUGGAAUACUAUGCAAGUGUUAAAAGGGAUAACUAACAAGAUUAAACAACAUGGAAAGACGUUUUUGAUUCAAUGAAUGAGGAAAAAGGUAGAAUACAAAAUUGUAAGUAUCAACCAUGUGAAAAUGGGUUUACAGAAGGACAUUUUUCUUGGUAGUCUUUAACAAGGUAAUUGAGGUAGCCACAACCAACUCACAGAUCUUGGUAUGUAAGGUAAAAUCGAUUGAACAUUUCUGCCUUAGAUAAUUUUGGCUAAGGUAAUGUCACUGUCCUAGUUCAGUCCCAGAAUUUCUUCCUAUAUUGGUCUGAUUCUGUGCCUUGUGCUGAUCUACUUUUGUGCUGGUCCAUAGCACUCCCAACUGAUGGGACCUACUGAUGAUAGAGGGACCACAGUCCCUCCAUCUGUGGUUAAUCUGGUAUGGAGAUCUUUUGCUUGGCACCACAAAGAUUUUAAGAACUAUAUUUAAAUUGCUUUAAUUUUUUUUUCCUGCCUACUCUUUUCCAAAUCUGUGUCAAGGUGGAGAUGUGACUGUCUUCCAGUAUGCUAAUAACGUCUGUAAAUUUUCUGGGAAAACCUGCCAAAGCUAAGGACAAAGAAAGGAAAACCUAAUGAAUGUGACAAAGGUACCCGGCAAUGUUUUGAGGGAGAGAUUUCACAAGCUGCCGAGGUGGCCCAAAAGAAUUUACAGGGAAGGCAGGGAAAGUCCUCCCACUCUGCCUGGACUCUGAAACUUUAUACCCAGCCACCCUUCCAUGGGGAUGUCCACUCCACUGCCACCCCAAGCCAGGCUGCACCUGCAGGAACCCUGUCCCACCUGUUCAGGCUCUGAGCCCACACAGCAAGCAGCCCUCCUGUGCAGACACUUUUCUCACCCUGCUGGGGCUCCAGCACCCAGCUCUGUACCACGGUGGCUUCCCCCAUUAGUCACAGAUGUUAUCCUGCUCUGCCCCACCUAAAGGAUUUUGCACCAAAUUGUUGACAGAGGGAAGGGAAGAAAAUCCCAAAUGACAUAUUUUUGGGAGCGAGAAACGGGCACUGAAUCUUGAUCCAAAUGGGUGGGAAAUGUGGAAUGCUGAGCAGGGAGAGGCAGGGAGAUGAAGUUAGUACACAGUAGAGGGCUUGAGGCUUGAAGAAUACCAGCUAUAGGAGUGGGUCCCUGUUCUUGGGCCUGUUUGCGUAUCUGAGGACUCGACUCCUAUUUCUCUGGGCUGAGAAUGCUGCCACCAGCCUGGAGCCUCAUCGAACCACUUUUUAUUUAAAAAAACCACCCGUUGGCUCCUGAUGUUUUUUAUGCUGAUUAAGAACACUGACUUGGCUAAAUGAACAAGGGGGCUGAUUGUUGCUCUGUCUCUUGAAGCAGGAGAAGCUUUUGAUCAAGUGGAGUGGGAGUUUAUGUUUGAGGUACUUUAAAAAGUGAAAUCUGGAGAUAAGCGUAUGAACUGAAUUUGAACUUUAUUCCAAGCCCAUUGAACAGAAAUGUUUCACAUCCCUUUAAUCUGAAAAAAGCCCACUGCAAUUGCCCUUUUAAUCCCUUAUUUUUCUUUAAUAUAAAGCUCCUUCUCAAAUUGCUUACUAUUUACGUACUGAGAAGGGCACUUCAAAAAUAAACUUAAGUUGAAAGAUGUUUGGAUUUUUUUCUUUCUUCAGGGAUAGGAAACAUGGCUCUGGUGACUUCUUUCUCCACCCUGGCACCCAGAGCAAGGAUGCUGCUCAUUAGUGACUAAGUGGGACCAGUGUCUCAGGUGGCAAUCCGGGAGCAAGCUCAGCUUCACACUGGGGCACUGUGGGUUGAUUGCACAGAAAACAGAAGCUUGUGGGUUCUAAUCUCGGUUCCUCCAUUGGCUUCUGGAUGGCUUUAGGUGAGUCAUUUAAUUUCCACGUUUGGUUUGCCCCAUCUGCCACAUGGAGCUAAUGAUACACCUCAUCCACUUAUUUCAUAGGAAUGUUGUAAGCGCUGAUUAAUGUAGAGGGCAGCCAAACAUUGCUUAUGUAUGAUGAGCUAAGAAAAGUAAGAUCAUGAGCUCAGAAACCUUUUCAAAUUAGGGGUGAUCUUUUCCUUUAGGAAUGAGCUAUGCUUAUGAUGCUGGGGUUUUUUUUGUUUUGUUUUGUUUCUCCUGAGUUGGAGUUUCACUCUUGUUG